rnacentral:rRNA from 1 species
CGCCUUGCCAGCCCGCUCAGAAACUCAAAUGAAUUGACGGGGCCCGCACAAGCGGAGGAGCAUGUGGUUUAAUUCGAUGAUACGCGAGGAACCUUACCUGGGCUCGAACGUAAGAUGACUGUAGGUGAAAGCUUACAUCUCUUCGGAGCAUUUUACGAGGUGCUGCAUGGUUGUCGUCAGCUCGUGCCGUGAGGUGUCGGGUUAAGUCCCAUAACGAGCGCAACCCCUACCUUUAGUUGCCAUCAGGUUAAGCUGGGGACUCUAAAGGAACUGCCUACGCAAGUAGUGAGGAAGGCGGGGAUGACGUCAAAUCAGCACGGCCCUUACGUCCAGGGCUACACACGUGCUACAAUGGCCGAUACAGCGGGCAGCGAAGGAGCGAUCCGGAGCGAAUCCUAAAAAGCCGGUCCCAGUUCGGAUUGCAGGCUGAAACUCGCCUACAUGAAGUUGGAGUUGCUAGUAAUCGCGAAUCAGAAUGUCGCGGUGAAUGCGUUCCCGGGUCUU